GCCAGCUGGAUAGCUCAGCCUGUAGAGCAUGAGACUCUUAACCUCCAGUUCGUAGGUUCGAGCCCCAUGUUGGGCA